rnacentral:rRNA from 1 species
UGGGGAAUUUUGGACAAUGGGCGAAAGCCUGAUCCAGCAAUGCCGCGUGUGUGAAGAAGGCCUUCGGGUUGUAAAGCACUUUUGUCCGGAAAGAAAUCCUUGGCUCUAAUACAGUCGGGGGAUGACGGUACCGGAAGAAUAAGCACCGGCUAACUACGUGCCAGCAGCCGCGGUAAUACGUAGGGUGCAAGCGUUAAUCGGAAUUACUGGGCGUAAAGCGUGCGCAGGCGGUUUGCUAAGACCGAUGUGAAAUCCCCGGGCUCAACCUGGGAACUGCAUUGGUGACUGGCAGGCUAGAGUAUGGCAGAGGGGGGUAGAAUUCCACGUGUAGCAGUGAAAUGCGUAGAGAUGUGGAGGAAUACCGGUGGCGAAGGCAGCCCCCUGGGCCAAUACUGACGCUCAUGCACGAAAGCGUGGGGAGCAAACAGGAUUAGAUACCCUGGUAGUCCACGCCCUAAACGAUGUCAACUAGUUGUUGGGGAUUCAUUUCCUUAGUAACGUAGCUAACGCGUGAAGUUGACCGCCUGGGGAGUACGGUCGCAAGAUUAAAACUCAAAGGAAUUGACGGGGUCAUAGCUGUUCCU